GGAGCCUGAUCACCUCCAUAAUACAGCCGUUGUCUGUGUUAUUCUCCUGUUUUGUGUCGGUCUGUCUCAGAGUCCACUUCCGGCUUCCAGAAGGCUACUAGAGACAGGUAAAUAACUCAUCCGGUGUCCCUUUUUAAUGAACCUGUCGAUUGUCUAUCUGCCUCCUGUGAGUUUGUGUGAAUGGGUGUGACAACCGGUUCUUUUACAAUUUUAGCUUGACUGCCUAGCGGGCAGGGGACGCAUUACAGCCGUUAGAGAGGCUGGGUACAACCUGGGUGACUGGGUUGGGAUAUAGAUUACAGCCGUUAAGGGGCUGGGUUACAGCCUGUGAAAGGCUGGGUACCGCCUGGUAGAAGGUGGGGUUUUGUGUUUUUCAUUGUAGACCCGGUAAAAAGGUCAUAUUACAGAAUUACAGCCUUACAGCCUAGUAAGGAGGGCUGGGGCUGUCACAAUUUACUGUUUGGUGUGUGUUGCGUUAAUAUGUACAUGGCCAUAUUACUCUGUCAUUUUGUGGUUUUUGUUCAACUGCUGUUAUAGUGUGGGCACCCUCGGUGUGUGUCGUGUGGCUAGUUUUGGAUUCUGGGGUUUACACUCAUCUUUAUGUGUGUGAUUUCUGUAAAUGCCUCUUGGUUAGUGUUGCCACGUUCAUCUUCUCCUUUAUACUUUAUCUCUCCUGUGUCUGUUGCCCAGAGCUGUGUUAGUCACCCACGCUCAUUCGCUCCGGUCCGUGGCCACCAUUUCGGGUUGGCGGACCCUCGUGACUAGUCUACGUUUGGGGAAGACGCACGGGGAUCAGGUCCUCGUGGCAGUCGAGCACUGUAGACAUUCCUUCCUCUUUUUCUCUAUAUACCUGUCUCUUGAGCGUGGCUCACUUUGUUUAGUCAGGAUGGGGCAGGAGCAUGCUAGACCUGCUAAGGGAUUGUUGGCUUGUGAUAUUGUAAAAGAAGGGGCAGGGGAGGAUGCAAUGUUGAAAAUUAAAAAGAUAACCAAGGUAGAAAAACUACCACAACAAGAGGACAUAGUCCUAAAUUAGAGGGACAAAGGUUUAAAAAUAAUAUCAGGAAGUAUUACUUUACUGAGAGGGUAGUGGAUGCAUGGAAUAGCCUUCCAGCUGAAGUGGUAGAGGUUAACACAGUGAAGGAGUUUAAGCAUGCGUGGGAUAGGUAUAAGGCUAUCCUAACUAUAAGAUAAGACUAGGGACUAAUGAAAGUAUUUAGAAAAUUGGGCAGACUAGAUGGGCCGAAUGGUUCUUAUCUGCCGUCACAUUCUAUGUUUCUAUGUAUGUGGUUUCCAAAUGUCGCCUAGUGGUAGGCUGCAACCUGAGUUCUGGAGGAAACUACUGGUGGAUAAGGAGGGUUUGUUGCUGGACAACGGGCUAACAAAGGCUGUGGAAGCAUGGUAUCGAGUUGCUAGAGGUCUCAAACGGGAGGGCUAGACAGAGGAAGAGUUAGACUUUGAGGGACAAAUCGUUCAUGUGUAUCACCGAAAUGUUUGUAAUGCUGAUGUAUCCCCCACUGCUUCCCAACCACCGCCCUAUGAUGGCGCCCAGAGCGUGGUAAUUAAUUCCCGCCCAGCUUCCCCUGUUACUGCCCGGACGCCAUCCCCCGGGGGUGUGAUUCCAGCUCCCACCCCCCUGUGUCCUGUGCUCGGGGCCAAUGGAGCCUAUUACUAUCCGGUGCCACUCCAUUCCUUCCCUCAUGCCCCCAUGCCCCACCAGACCCAGUCAUCGCCCCUCUCCCCUGUCACUCCUACUGAAGUCCCUCCGCCUCCUUGUCCUCCACCCCACCCACCGUUUACACCUGUUACUACCUCAGCUCCCCCUAUUCCGGAUCCCGCCCCAUCAGCUCCAACUCUAACCCCUGAUGUCCUCACCGCUCACCUUCCCCUCACUCUCGACUGCCCCGACCUUGUCUCCUCCUACUUCUCCGUCUCCUUCCUCCUCCUCCCCUCCCACCUGCCUAUCAUCCCUCCUCUCCGCGCUCUCAGCUUUAGCUCAUCCUACUGUUCCGGCACCUCCUGACUCCAUCCCUCCCCCUACUCCCGCAGAUUCUUCACCUCCUCCACCCCCGCCCACUGACUUCUCAUCUCUUCUCUCCGCUCUUACAGCCCUAGCCCAUCCCACCAUUCCCACCCUACCUAUUCCUCCCCCUGCACCCACUGAUCUCCUUCCUCCUCCCACUCCUCCCACUGACCUUUCAUCUCUACUCUCCAACCACUCUCCUUCCGCCUCUACCCCUCCUAUAGACCUUUCGUCUCUUGUCUCCACCCUCUCUGCCUUAGCCCAUCCUACUGCUCCCGCCACCACUACUUCUGUCCCACCCCCUACACUCCCUGGCCCUACCUCUUCCCCUCUCCUAACUGACCUUUCAUCACUCCUCUCCACCCUCUCAUCUUUGACACCUCCUACUACUCCCGCCCCUACCACACCUCCUCCCACUCCGUCGCCUUCCCCUCCCCUUCCUGCCGACCUCUCACCUCUUCUUUCCGCCCUCACGGCUUUAACCCACCCGCUACUUCUACCCCUCCUACUACAGUCCCUCCCCCUACCACCUCUGAAUCUCCUCCUGCUGAUCUAUCAUCAUCCAUCUCUGCCCUCAUCUCCGCCCUCACUUCCUUGGCCCACCCCACCACUCCUGUCCCUCCUCCUACAGUUAUGCCCCAACCUUCUACUCCAGACCCUUCGACUCUGCCUCCCCCUGCUACCCUUCCCCCUGAAACCCCUGACCCAAUCUCCGCUCUAGCCCAUGUCUUGAAUACUCACCUGUGGCCCAACCUGCCCCCACCCCAGGCAACUUGUAUAAAUGACAUUGUUCAGGAUAAACUUGAGUCAGUUGAGAAAUAUCAUUCACGGUUAACCCAGACCUUCUCUGAUUUAGGGUUCAGUACCUAUAAUAAAGCACACACUCAGAUGUUGUCUGCUGCCUUUGUGGCUGGCCUGAAAGAAUACAUUCGUAAAGGUUUAAUACUCUCUCGGCCCGAGUAUCGAAUCAUUCCUCUUGACACACUUUUGUUAGUUGCUAAAGGUUUAGAGUCAGUGCUACAACCUACACAAAGGAGGGCUAGCCCAUUGAUGUUUACCACAACAGCACCUGUCACAGGAUCUGCUCAUGCCCCCCCAGGCUACAUGCAACAGUUGCAACAGACCCCUGCUCCCUCUAGGGACAGGACACCCACGGUAAACAGUACCUGUUAUAAUUGUCACCAAACCGGUCACUUCAGGAGGGAAUGCCCUCACCCCAGAUUGUUCCGGCCACUACUUCCCUGGUUCUCUAACCCCUCCACAGCUACUUAUGGCUAUCUCCUUCUGGGGUACUUCCAAUCGCCUCCUCCCCCUCCAGUGCCACAAUUCCCACCACCUCCAGAAUAUUCUCAAUCCCUGCCACCGUCUACAGAUGCUUGUGCUUACCCUCCUGCUCCUGCUGAUCGGUUUGACACUGAUGAUUUCCAGGAGGGCCGGCCCAUCCCUAGACAGAACCGUCCUGCUCGCCCUACCAUGCAGGCUAGCCUCCCUUCCACCUCCUCGCGCCGUUAUAAGGGCCCUGACCAGGCUCAUUUGGAUUUAUUGCAAUAGGUAACCGGCAAGCCUGUGUCAGCUACCCCUGCCAUGGCAGUGUCUACAGGGGAUGGGGGAGGACCACUAGCCACUGUGGUUCUACCCAUAGAGGGUCAUCCUACUACCUUCUUAGUUGAUACAGGUGCAGCCCGUAGUGUUCUUAGAGAACAAGACCUGCCUGACCCAUCCUUCCUGUCAGAUACCGAUGUCUCCUGUGUUGGGGUUGAUGGUACACCCCGUAAUAGCCCAGUCACUAAACUCCUCCAUGUGGGGUCAGAUAUCCUCUCACGGUUUGUUGUUUCCUCCACGUGCCCCAUUAACCUUUUGGGUGCUGAUGUCCUUUCCCGGCUGCAAGCUUCCAUAACCUUCACUGCAGACGGCCAAGUCCAGUUAGACACCCCUCUGUCACGGAAAGAUACAUCGGUACUUUGCUCCCUUCCCAUACUAUUACACCUCACAUCUUCCACAGGGAAAUCAAGGGUCCCACAUGCCCCCAGUGCUCUGGACAAGAUCCCUACAAAGCUCUGGUCCACUGGCCUGGAUGAUAUUGGACGCCUUAACGUUCCCCCCGUUGUGGUCACGCUACUGCCGGGAGUGGCACCUCCCCGAAGACCACAAUAUCCGUUGAAGCCUGCACAAGCCCUCGCUAUUUCCAAACAAGUGGAAAGUCUCCUUGCAAAAGGUGCCCUUAUCAAGUGUGUGUCACCAUGCAACACACCCCUCUUCCCUGUCAAGAAGAAAAUUGAAAAGGGACAGCCUGAUCAGUAUCGGAUGGUUCAGGAUCUACGUGCUGUUAAUGAAGUAACUGUCAAAGAUACUGCAAUUGUUCCAAAUCCACAUACUCUCUUGUCCCAGGUUCCACCAACUGCUACAAUUUUUACUGUCAUGGAUCUGGCUAAUGCAUUUUUCAGUGUACCACUUGACCCAUCCUGCCAANNNNNNNNNNNNNNNNNNNNNNNNNNNNNNNNNNNNNNNNNNNNNNNNNNNNNNNNNNNNNNNNNNNNNNNNNNNNNNNNNNNNNNNNNNNNNNNNNNNNAAUAUGUACCCAGCUGUUGUCCAAAAAUAUGUACCCAGCCCAUCUGUCAAAACAUUUGAUGAACUCCCUGAUUGAUAAAUAUUUAGAAGCACCAGGCAUCACUACUCUGACACAGAAUUAUUGUAGCUCCUGUACAAUAUGCGCUAAAUGCAACCCUGGGAAGAUUGUUAAAACCGCACCCAACCACCUGGCCAAGCCCCAAUACCCUUUACAGAGGAUACAGAUUGACCACAUCCAAAUGCCGAAGAGUGGACGUUAUGAAUAUGCACUGGUCAUUGUGGACAUGUUCUCAGGAUGGCCAGAAGCCUUCCCAGUGUCUAAUCUCACUGCAAUGACUACGGCCAAACAUCUUCUGACGGAAAUUGUCUGCCGGUACAGAGUUCCAGAAGUGAUUGAAAGUGACCAAGGAACCUCCUUCACUGCAUCAUUGACACGGGAAGUCUGGUCAGCACUGGGGGUGACCCUUGCAUUCCACACCCUUGCAUUCCACAAAGUAGUGGUAAGGUAAUAAUCCUACUCCCCUCUAGUAUAUCUUCUAUUUUUUUAAUCCCAUUGCUAAGCCAUUCUGUUAUGUUCAAAUUUUCUAUCCAGACCUCUAGACUUUUAAAGGGUAAAGCUGGUAAUAUUUUAUUUUUUAAUUCUAAUUGAUUUUUAAAAUAAGACCAAAAUUUUACUAACGGUUUUGUUAUCAAAUUAUCCGUAGAAUAUUAUAUGGACUAGUAAUAUCUUCUCCCUCAAUUUCAAACCAAUUCGGUAAGAUUUUAUCUUGUUUAAUUAGGGGUAGGGUGUGCAUUAAUUGAGCUGCUUGAUGGUAUAAAAAAAUGUUUGGAAAACCAAUACCUCCAUGCUUAUAUUUCAUAUAUAAAAGAUCCUGACCUAAUCUGGGUUUCUUCUGAAGCCAUACAUAAUCUCUAAAGAUCUUAUUUAUAAGUUUUAGUUGUUGAGGCUGCAUCUGUAUUGGAAUCAUCCUCAGAAGAUAUAUAAACCUAGGGAAAAUGUAUGCCUUAAUAAAGUUAACCCUGCCCCACCAGGAUAACUGCAUAGAAUUCCACUGUUUAAACGAGUGGGUACAUUCUCCAAUCAGAGGGAUUACAUUAGCCAUCAUUGUAUUGGCNNNNNNNNNNNNNNNNNNNNNNNNNNNNNNNNNNNNNNNNNNNNNNNNNNNNNNNNNNNNNNNNNNNNNNNNNNNNNNNNNNNNNNNNNNNNNNNNNNNNAGGAUUUUUCACUAUAUUAAUCCCAAGAUAAACCCCUUUUUUUCCCAUCUAAAGUCAAAAAAUUUAGUUAAAUAUUGAAAAUCUUCCUCUUUCAUAUAAAAGGGUAAUGCCGUCGUUUUUUGAACAUUAAGUUUAUAGUUUGACAGUCGGCUAUAUCUUUCAAUUACCUGCAUAACUGCUACUACUGACUUAGUUGGAUUAGUUAGAGUUAGUAAAGUGUCAUCCGCAUAUUGGCAUAUCUUAAAAUGUUUAUCUCUCUUUUUAAACCCAGAUAUUUCAACAUUAUUUCGUAUUUCAUAUGCCAGAAGUUCAGCUGUUAAAAUAUAAAGCAGCGGGGAUAAAGGACAACCUUGUCGGGUACCUUUCGAUACCAUUAACCAAUCAGAUUUAAUCCCACCUCCGACAAUCCUGCUGGAAGGUGCGCAGUAGCAGGCCAUAAUUGCUGACAAAAUCUGCCCUGUAAACCCAAAAGCUUUAAGAGUUGCUUUCAUAAAAUUCCAGCUGACCCUAUCAAAAGCCUUUUCUCCGUCUAAGGCCAUCGUUAGAAAAGGAAUUUUAUUCAUAUGAAUCUUAGAAAAUAUAUUUAAUAUCUUCCUAAUAUGGUUAGAAGACGUCCUGCCUGGUAUGAACCCUACCUGAUCUUCUGAGAUCAGGGAGGAGAUUAUAUUCUUAAUUCUUUUAGCGAUAAUAGAAGCAUAAAUUUUGUAAUCAUUAUUUAAUAAAGCUAUUGGGCGAUAAUUGGCGAUUUCUUCUGAGUUUUUAUUAUUUUUUAGAAUAGGUAAAAUAUUUGCAGCCAGCAAUUCUUUAGGUAAAUUACCUGUAGCCAUCGCUAUGUUAUAACAAUCAGUCAUUCUCUGAAUCAGCCUAUCCUUGUAUAUUUUAAAAAAAAGAAUCUGUAAAUCCAUCUGGUCCUGGAGCUUUAUUUCCUUUCCAGAGCUACAGAGAAUUUAUGGGCUUUCUUCUUCACAAACUUUUAAAUAUAUAAGGAUCAGGAGCUUUUUACAAAGUUUCCUUGGCGAUAUUUCAAAGUCAUCUUCAGUAGCUAAAUUGAAUGCAUUGAUAGACUCAGAGAAGGAUAUAAAAAUAUUAACUAGAUGUGUAGUGAUUAUGAGAAGCAUAAAAAGGUUUGUCCAGCAAAUGGGAAAGAGAUCUCUUAAUAGAAAUUAAUAUAAAGGAUUGGAAUAGGGCUCUUCACACAGUUUAUUCUUCGGUACACUGUUUAAAUAUCAGGGAGGCUCAUUAUAAGCUUUUAAACCGCUGGUAUAUGACGCCAAAUAAGAUUCAGAAAUUCUCUAAGGAAGAGUCUUCUAGAUGUUGGCGAUGUGGGAGUGAGGAGGCAAAUGAAUUGCAUAUAUGGUGGGAUUGUCCCCCAAUUAAAGCAGCUUGGGAUCUUUUUAUGGGACAUAUAAAUACUCUUUUGAAUAUCACGCAUAUUUGGACCCCAGAUACUCUGCUUUUACAUUUAAAUUUACCGCCACUGACUAAAGAUAAGAAAUGUCUAUUGAUACAUGCGCUGAUGGCUUUUAAGAUGUCUAUAGCUAAAAACUGGAAAAAAAUUCUAAUUGAUUCAUGGCCACAUAUUAAGUCAAUUAUUAUAACCCAAUGGAAAAUGGAAAGGGGUAUAGCAUCUAGUUUAAAUAUUAAUAUCUGUUCAUUUGAGAUAUGGGAUAAAUGGAUAAAGAUUCUUGAAAAUUCAAUAUAAGAUAGUCUAUUUAAAGAUAAAAAGGAGUCCCCUUAAAGGGUGGCAGUAAAUAGGUGUUAGGAAGGAUAUAAUAAACAUCAUGAAUAUAAUGUCAACUUUAUUGUUAGUUAUGUUGUGUGUGUGUAAGUGUGUAAUAUUAGCUCAGUAGAAGAGAGAAAAGUGAACGCUAUUCUAUCUUAUGCAUCUGAUACUUCCUUUCUGUACUGAAGCUUAUAGGUUGGAAAUAUUUUCUGAGGAGAACAUGAAUAAUGUUAAAUAAGGAGCUAGAGCUAUAAGUAUUGAAAUACUUUUUGAAUGUUUCCUGUAAUUAUCUUUGUAUGUAUUUUAUUGUCUAUGUAAUAUUUUAUAUGUAUGUAUAAUACAUGUUAAAAAAAAAGGAAAAAAUCCAAUAAAUAAACUAUAAAAAAAAAAAAAAAGUAGUGGUAAGGUAGAACGCAUGAAUGGCACGUUGAAGGCCAGAAUGCUUAAGAUGUCACAAGAAACUAACAUGCCCUGGCCUGAGAGUCUCCCAUUAGCAUUAUUCAGUGUGAGAUACACUCCUACGGGAAAAUACAGCUUAUCACCCUAUGAGAUCUUGUUCGGUACAGCACCAAGGUUAGGUUGUUAUUUCCCCCAACAGCUUCAAAUUCAGUCAGAUGCUAUGGUAGAUUAUGUAACUGCUCUUUCUCAUGCCUUGACCAAAAUCCAUGCCCAAGUGUUCUCUUCUAUUCCAGAUCCUGAGUUGAAUACAAGUACACACAAGUUGCUUCCUGGUGAUUGGGUUAUGGUCAAGAAAUUUCUCAGGAAACACACCCUUGAACCAAGAUUUGAUGGUCCUUACCAAGUGCUUCUAAUCACAGCUACCUCAGUAAAGCUGGCCGGGAAGAGUUCCUGGAUACACUCUUCACACUGCAAGAAAGUGCCUGCUCCAGAAGAAGUUGACCCUGCUGAACUAUGAAUUUGUGUUUCUUGUGUUUUCCUACGCUGCUAGACUUUGCAUGGGUCCAGCAGGUGGCCAUAACCAAAGAUAACCAUGUCUACACUUUCUGGUACAAUUCUUCCAACACAGAUGUAGCUACUUUCACCUUUGAUUACUGUGAUAUCGUUACUUGUACAUUCCCACAAACACAAUAUGCUGUUAUAUACAAGGACAUACCCAGUAAAAAAGACCCAUACAUUUGUGUGACUGGAGGGUCCUGGGGACAUCAUUGUAGCUCAUGGAAGGCGGCAGGGUGGAAUACGGGUAGACCAUGGGGCUAUAGGCCCCAGAGUGCUCUAGACAGAAUUGACAAAGAUGGAAAACCCCUACUCUCCAGAAUGACCCUAAGUAAACCUAUCGGGUCGACACCCACUAAACUCACGCUGAACAUAGAGCACCCUAGUCCAAAGGAUGCAGGGGAAUAUGUAAUGGGAAUGUACUGGAAGGGAGGUGGCUCAUACAAUAAAUUGGGGACAUUUUAUCUGCAAGACAUGCUUACCUCACCAGACUGGGUAGAAACCACUCACAUGACUAUUAACCCACUGAAACCACAUAUCAUGACUUUACAUGAUAUGGUAGCCAUAGCCAAUCCUACCUUCGAAGACACAAUGGCAGUAGAAACUGGGUUCUCGGAAACUAAUUUAUGGCUGGAAUGGAUGAGAUAUAAUGCUAACUCACACAAUAAGACUAACUGUUAUGUAUGUGGAGGGGCCAGACCCCACCUGGGUACGGUGCCUCUAAAUCUACCUAUGUUGAACUAUGUGUUUUGAGUCUUUAUGCGCAGUCUACCACUAACUCCUCAACGUGUGAAUCAUGGAAAAAGGUUUACCCAAUCACCCAGGGACACGUUAGACCACCUGAUGGAGUCAUAGUAUACCCAGGUAACUACACUUUUUAUUCAAUAUCCAAGAACACAGGUACAUUCAUAGGCAAAUUCCCAUCUGGUUAUUGCUCCACCUAUCGUAACCCACCCAUAGCGUUAUUAAUGAAUCAUGCAAAGACAGUUGGGGACAUAUAUUGGCUAUGUGGUGAGAAACAAUUGAGGUCCCAGCUGGUGGGACUAUGGUGGGGAGAAGGUACCCUGGCCAAGGCCAUAAUGCCUAUCCAUAAAAUCCCGGAUGGCUAUCACGAUGUGUUAGACCCCACACACACACACACUCCAGAGUCAAGAGGGAAGCCCCCAUCCGAGGGAGCUUUGACCCACAUGUUUACAUUGAUGCCAUUGGUGUGGGGGGAGCCUAGUGAAUUCAAGGCAAGGGAUGAGGUGGCAGCAGGGUUUGAAUCCUUGAUUCCGAUGAUUACUGCUAAUAAGAAUGUCAAUUGGAUUAACUAUAUCUAUUAUAAUCAGCAGCGGUUUGUUAAUUAUACCAGGGAUGCCCUACAGGGCCUAGCAGAACAGCUGCAAGCCACCACCCAAAUGACAUUUCAAAAUAGAAUGGCUCUAGAUAUGAUUCUAGCGGAAAAGGGGGGCGUAUGUAAAAUCCUCCCCGAAACCAUGACAUGUUGCACAUUUAUUCCAGACAACACUGGGCCCAAUGGUAAGGUAACUAUGGCCAUAGAGAAACUUGAUAGUCUCUCCGAUGAAUUGAAGAAGAACUCAGGAGCCACUGAUACCUGGGACAAGUGGUUUGGAUAGAUGAAUGGCUGGCAGAGAACCCUAUUUCAGGUUGGGACAGCAGUUCUCAUAAUGGUUAUCAUCUUUCUAUUUCUAACCUGUUGUGUACUUCCCUGUGUACAGAAAUACCUGCAGAAGACAGUAGGGAAGACUAUAGACAACGUAACUCCUACUUUCCUACACCAGGACGUCACUGACUUAGAAUGUGACACACCACAUACACCCCUCCAAUCCCAUCAAUUUAAACCGACAACUGCAUUCCUGUAGGGAUAGCGUAGGGAAAGCGUCUGUCUCUACGGCAAGCCUCACGUGUGGAGAUGUGGUGGACAAGCCACCGCGGGUUACCCACGGAGUGAAGAGUUAGAUGCCUGUUAAGACAGAUGAGCUGCAGGCAGCUAAGGAUACGCUAGGGACAGUGACAGUUGUCAUGGUAAAUAGCCAUUUUAAGGGGGGACUGUUGUGGAAAUAAGAUAUUGAUAUAUUUUCUAGUUAGUAAAAUGUCUAUUUACUCAUCUCACUAAAAUCAGUAUAUAAGCUAUACAUGCAUAUUUAGACAAAAUGGCUGCUAGAAGCUUCUAACCCCUCCCUCCCUAUAACACCGACUAACUACCUCAUGCAACAAGAUGGCGCUGGAAUCCGUGGGAGACCCUCAUGGUUCCAGUGACAUCACCUUUAGUAGGCAGAGCACUAAGAAGACCACUUAACACCUAACCAAUUAUUGAUGUAUUAUUUCAUGUUAUCUCUGACAAUGCUUAUGCUGUAAUUUUGCUUUAAAAGGGACCUGCCGUCCCCUCUGAAUAAACAUUCCU
rnacentral:lncRNA from 1 species